CAGCCGCCGCGGGAAUACGAAGGGGGCUAGCGUUGCUCGGAAUGACUGGGCGUAAAGGGCGCGUAGGCGGAUCACGCAGUCAGAUGUGAAAUUCCUGGGCUUAACCUGGGGGCUGCAUUUGAGACGCGUGGUCUAGAGUGUGAAAGAGGGUCGUGGAAUUCCCAGUGUAGAGGUGAAAUUCGUAGAUAUUGGGAAGAACACCGGUGACGAAGGCGGCGACCUGGUUCAUGACUGACGCUGAGGCGCGAAAGCGGGGGGAGCAAACAGGAUUAGAGACCCCGGUAGUCCCUGUCUCUUAUAC
rnacentral:rRNA from 1 species